UGUAAGAUAAGAUAACUAUACCUAAUUCAAGUUUUAAAAAGUCGCAGACUGAUUAUACCAGUCUGUUUGUUUAUAUGCAAUACAAAGAACCUGAGAAAAUUGCUCGGGUUCUUUUUUA
rnacentral:sRNA from 1 species